AUACGUAGGGUGCAAGCGUUAAUCGGAAUUACUGGGCGUAAAGCGUGCGCAGGCGGUUUUGUAAGACAGAGGUGAAAUCCCCGGGCUCAAACUGGGAACUGCCUUUGUGACUGCAAGGCUAGAGUACGGCAGAGGGGGAUGGAAUUCCGCGUGUAGCAGGGAAAUGAGUAGAUAUGCGGAUGAACACCGAUGGCGAAGGCAAUCCCCUGGGCCUGUACUGACGCUCAUGCACGAAAGCGUGGGUAGCAAACAGGAUUAGAUACCCUGGUAGUCCACGCCCUAAACGAUGUCAACUGGUUGUUGGGUCUUCAUUGACUCAGUAACGAAGCUAACGCGUGAAGUUGACCGCCUGGGGAGUACGGCCGCAAGGUUGAAACUCAAAUGAAUUGACGGGU
rnacentral:rRNA from 1 species